ACGAACGCUGGCGGCGUGCUUCACACACGCACGUCGAACGGAAAGGCCCUGCUUUUGUGGGGUGCUCGAGUGGCGAACGGGUGAGUAACACGUGAGUAACCUGCCCUUGACUUUGGGAUAACUUCAGGAAACUGGGGCUAAUACCGGAUAGGAGCUCCUGCUGCAUGGUGGGGGUUGGAAAGUUUCGGCGGUUGGGGAUGGACUCGCGGCUUAUCAGCUUGUUGGUGGGGUAGUGGCUUACCAAGGCUUUGACGGGUAGCCGGCCUGAGAGGGUGACCGGCCACAUUGGGACUGAGAUACGGCCCAGACUCCUACGGGAGGCAGCAGUGGGGAAUAUUGCACAAUGGGCGGAAGCCUGAUGCAGCAACGCCGCGUGCGGGAUGACGGCCUUCGGGUUGUAAACCGCUUUCGCCUGUGACGAAGCGUGAGUGACGGUAAUGGGUAAAGAAGCACCGGCUAACUACGUG
rnacentral:rRNA from 1 species